rnacentral:rRNA from 1 species
GAUGAACGCUAGCGGCAGGCUUAACACAUGCAAGUCGAGGGGCAGCAUGAUAAGUAGCAAUACUUAUUGAUGGCGACCGGCGCAAGGGUGCGUAACGCGUGAGUAACAUGCCCGUAUCAGGAGGAUAACCCGGAGAAAUCCGGACUAAUACUGCAUAAUAUCGAUUUGAGGCAUCUUGGAUUGAUUAAAGUUUCGACGGAUACGGAUUGGCUCGCGUGACAUUAGCUAGAUGGUAAGGUAACGGCUUACCAUGGCGACGAUGUCUAGGGGUUCUGAGAGGAAGGUCCCCCACACUGGAACUGAGACACGGUCCAGACUCCUACGGGAGGCAGCAGUGAGGAAUAUUGGACAAUGGAUGGAAAUCUGAUCCAGCCAUGCCGCGUGAAGGAAUACGGUCCUAUGGAUUUUAAACUUCUUUUGUAUGGGAGCAAUAAGGUGUACGCGUACAUCGAUGAGAGUACCAUACGAAUAAGCA